rnacentral:rRNA from 1 species
AAAGUAUUCUUCGGAAUGCGAGUAGAGUGGCGCACGGGUGAGUAACGCGUAGAUAAUCUACCCUUAUAUCUGGGAUAACUUCGCGAAAGUGAAGCUAAUACCGGAUACACUUGAGUUUAUGCGAGUAAACAUGAGGAAAGGUGACCUCUUCUUGAAAGUUACCGUAUAAGGAUGAGUCUGUGUACCAUUAGCUAGUAGGUGGGGUAAAGGCCUACCUAGGCAACGAUGGUUAGCGGGUCUGAGAGGAUGAUCCGCCACACUGGAACUGGAACACGGACCAGACUCCUACGGGAGGCAGCAGUGAGGAAUAUUGCGCAAUGGGGGAAACCCUGACGCAGCGACGCCGCGUGGGUGAAGAAGGUCUUCGGGUCGUAAAGCCCUGUCAGGUGGGAAGAAAUGCUGGUAUGUUAAUAGCGUAUCAGUUUGACGGUACCGCCAAAGGAAGCACCGGCUAAAUCCGUGCCAGCAGCCGCGGUAAUACGGAUGGUGCGAGCGUUGUUCGGAAUCACUGGGCGUAAAGGGCGCGCAGGCGGAUCUGCAAGUCAGAUGUGAAAGUCCACGGCUCAACCGUGGAAGUGCAUCUGAAACUGCAGGACUGGAGUAUGGGAGAGGAAAGUGGAAUUCCCGGUGUAGAGGUGAAAUUCGUAGAGAUCGGGAGGAAUACCGGAGGCGAAGGCGACUUUCUGGACCAAUACUGACGUUGAGGCGCGAAAGCGUGGGGAGCAAACAGGAUUAGAUACCCUGGUAGUCCACAGCUGUAAACGAUGAACACUAGGUAUAGGGGGUAGUUGACCCCUUCUG